rnacentral:ncRNA from 1 species
AUCGAGAGGGCGAGGAAUACAAUACCCGAAAGGGAAAUAACUCCAGCUGUCUUACUCAGCUUUCGAACCUCUUGAUCACCAUAU